UGAAAAGGAUCGGAUGGAUCAGAAGAGGCAAGAACGACUUUGCCGUCACGGAUAGUGAGAGAGUAAUUGGGAUCAGCCUUUGUAUAAACCCUAAAUGAAGGCUUAUCGAUGAGCUCUGGAUGUGGUGAGGUCUCAUGGUGGAAGAAUGAAGGCACAUGUGGUUGAAAACGAUGAUGAUCAUGCUGACGAUGAACGCUCUCACUCUCACUCUCGUGAGACACGUGUUCGACGGAGGAAUAACUAGGUGGUUGCGGUGGUGGCGGGCCCUCAUAAUAAGGCGGUGUACGAUUAUAAGAUCCACCAUAGUUCUCCUCCAUUCGCGGAGGCGGAUAAUUAGUCCGACCAUAACUAUCCUCCAUUGACGGAGGAGGAUAACUAGUCCGACCAUAAUCGUCCUCCAUAGGUGGCGGUGGAGGAUAAUGAGGACGGUUAUAAUUGGGAUCCAUCGGUGGUGGUCCACCUACAUGGGAAGUGUGAUAGACAUGGGUAACUUCUGACGGUGGUGGUUCGUCGUAGGCUGACGGUGGUGGUCGUCGUCCGGGAGGUGGAAAUUCCUCUCCACCGUCGUCGUCGCGACGGUGGUGGUG
rnacentral:lncRNA from 1 species